GGGUAGCCUAGUGGACAUGGCAUCUGCCCGGUAAGCGGAACAUUGUGGGUUCGAUUCCCACUUGAACACU